CCCAGUGCCAUUGGUUGUGUGUGUCAAAGGGACAGAGUCAUUCCUGUGCAGUUGUGAAUGGUUAAUUUUGUGUGUUAACUUUGCUCAACUCUGAUGCCUGGUUGCUUGAUCAGAGCAACCAGUUGUCUGGAUGUUUCUAGGAAGGUAAUUUUUGGAUAAGAUGAACGUAGUAGCCCUUGAGUAAAGCAGACUGUCCUUCAUAUUUGGAAUGGGCCUCAUUCGAUCAGUUGAAGGCCUUAAGAGCAAAGGCUGAGGUUCCCGGAAGGGGAAGAUCUGCCUCCAGACCUCCUUCUGACUCGGAAUGGGAAGAUUUGCCUCCAGACCUCCUUCUGACUCAAGACGGCAAUGUCAACUCCUCCUGGGGUUCUCAGCCUGCUGGCCCGCCCUGCAGAUUUCAGACUUGUCCGCCUCUGAAGUCAUGUUAUCGCUCUGUCACCCAGGCUGGAGUACGGCAGUGCAAUCAUGGCUCAUUGCAGCCUUGACCUCCUAGGCUCAAGUGAUUCUUCAUCCUCGGCUUCCCAAAUAGCUGGACUACAGGUAUGCACCACCGUGCCUUUAAUUUUUUGUACUUUUUGUAGAGGUAGGGUUUUGCCAUGUUGCUUGGGCUUCUCUCAAACUCCUGGACUCAAGUGAUCUGUCUGCCUCGGCCUCCAGAAAUGCCAGGAUUAUAGACGGGAACCACAGCGCUCAGGUAACCCUGUUUUUUUUUUUUUUUUAAAUCGACUUCUGUUUUAAUUAAAUUGCGGGUUACAUGUGAACAUUUGAUGUCAGUGAGGCUUGUGGCCACUGACCCUGUCACCCAGGCAGUGAGCAGACUGCCAAUCAGGUGGUUCUUCCCCCCACACCCCCUUUCUGCCUCCUUUUUUCAUCUGAUAGUCCCCAGUGUCUAUUGUUUCCAUCUCGAUGUUUGAGUGUAUUCACUGUGUAGCUCCCACUCAUAAGUGAGAAGAACAUGCAGUGUUUGAUUUUCUGUUCUUGCCUUGGUUUGCUAAAUACAAUAAUCCCCAGGUCUACCCAUGCUGCUUAGGACAUGAUUUUGUGUUUUUCUUAUGGCUGUGUAGUAUUUUGUGGUGUGUAUGUACCACAUUAAAAAAAUCAAAUCCACUGUUGCUGGUCACCUAGGUUGCUUCCACAUCUUUUUCUUAUGAAUGGCACAGCCAUAAAUGCAUGAGUGCAUGUGUCUUUUUAAUGGAAGGAUUUAUUGUCUUUCGGGUAGAUACCAAGCAGUGGAAUUGCUGGGUCUGAUGGUAGUUCUGUUUUAGUUCUUUGGGAAUCUCCAAACUGCUUUCCACAGUGCGAACUAGUUUUCACAUUCACCAGGAGUGUGGCAGCAUUCCCUUUUGUUUGCUGCCUCGCCAGCAUGUUGUUUUGAUUUUGGAAAAGUGGCUGUUCUGACCAGCGUGAGAUGGUGUCUUGUUGUGUUUGUGAGUUGCCUUUUACCGACAAUUAGUGAGGUUGUGCAGUUUUUCAUGUCAGUUGGUCGCUUGAAUGUCUUACAUUUUUGUUUUGUUUUUGAGACAGGGUCUCACUCUUGCCCAGACUGGAGUGCAGUUGGGCGAUCUCGGCUCACCGCAACCUUUGCCUUCUGAGUUCAAUCAAUUCUCCUAAACUCAGCCUGCUGAGUAGCUGGGAUUAUAGAUGUGUGCCACUAUACCCAGCUAAUUUUUGUAUUUUUCGUAGAGGCAGGGUUUCACCAUGUUGGCCAGGCUGGUCUCGAACUCCUGGCCUUAUGUGCCUGCCUCAGCCUCCCAAAGAGCUGGGAUUACAGGCGUGAGCCACCAUACCCAGACUGUUUGCUUAAAUUUCGUUUUUGUGUGUGUUCUUUUGGGAUAGAGUCUUGCUCCGUCGCCAGGCUGGAGUGCAGCUGCAUGAUCUCAGCUGACUGCAACCUCCGCUUCCCAGGUUCAGGCGAUUCUCCUGCCUCAGCCUCCCGAGUAGCUGGGACUACAGGCGCACACCACCACACAUAGAUAAUUUUUGCAUUUUUAGUAGAGAUGGGGC
ensembl:lncRNA